AUAAAUAAUUUAGUUUUAUUGUUAAAUUAAUUAAAAUAUUAGUAAAUAAAAUAGUUUUAGUAUUAAUUUAUAAAAAAUAUAUUUAAUUUAUAGUUAAUUUUGUAUUGUAAAAGAAUUUAAAAAUGUUAUUUAUAUAUUUAUAAAUUAAAUUUUAUUUAUUGUAUUUUGUGUAUCAAAGUUUAUUGAAAAAAAAUUUUUUAUAAAAAAUUUUUGAAAUAAAAAGAUUUAAUUAAUUAUAUAAAUUAAUUGUAAUAAAAAUUUUUUUAAUAAUUAAUUAGAAAUGAAAUGUUAUUCGGUUUUUAUUUUAUCUAAUUUUUUAAGAAAUAAAUUUAAUUUASAUAUUUUUUAUUAUUAAAUAAAUUAAUAUAUUUAAUUAAUUUUAAAUAUUAAUAUUUUAAGGGAUAAGCUUUAAAUUAAAAAUUUUAAAUAUUUUUUUUUGAAAAAUUAAAAUAUUAUUAAAUUAAUAUUAUUUAUUAAAUUUAAUUUGUAAUAAAAAAUUUUUAAAUUAAAAAAAUUUAUUUGUUUUAUUAAUAUAAUUAUUAAAAUAUUUAUUUUAAUUAUAAAAAUAAAUUAAUUAUAAUGAAAUUAGUAUAAAAAUAAGUUAAUUUAAAAUUUUAUGAAAAUUUAAAUUAAUUAAUUCGACAAAAAAUAUAUUCGCUUGUUUAACAAAAACAUGUCUUUAAGAAUAUAAUUUAAAGUCUAAUCUGCCCACUGAAUUAAUUUGAAGGGCUGCAGUAUUUUGACUGUGCGAAGGUAGCAUAAUAAUUAGUUAUUUAAUUGAUAACUGGAAUGAAUGAUUGAACGAAAUAUAAAUUGUAUUAAAUUAAUUUUAUAAAACUUAAUUUUUUAGUAAAAAAGCUAAAAUAAAUUAAAAAGACGAGAAGACCCUAUAGAUUUUUAUAUUUAUUUAUAUUUUAAUUAUUUAUAUUAAUUAAUAAAUAUAAAUAUUUAUUGGUUUGGGGUGAAUUUAAAAUUAAUAAAACUUUUAAUUAUUUUAAUAAUAAUUUUUAAUUUAUUGAUCCAAUUUUUUGAUUAUAAGAUUAAGUUACCUUAGGGAUAACAGCGUAAUUUUUUUUUUAAGUUCUUAUUAAAAUUAAAGAUUGCGACCUCGAUGUUGGAUUAAAAUAAUUUAAAAAUGUAUAAGUUUUUAAGUUAGGUCUGUUCGACCUUAAUUUUUUACAUGAUCUGAGUUCAGACCGGCGUAAGCCAGGUUGGUUUCUAUCUUUUAAAAAAUAAAUUUAUUUUAGUACGAAAGGAAUUUUUAAUAUAAAUUAUUUAUUUAUUUGAAUUAAAUUAAUA
rnacentral:rRNA from 1 species